AAAAAGGGCCCAAAUAAGCAUUAUUCUUGGUUUUCGCACAAUAACUUUAGUAUAAGUAAAUAGAAAUCAAUGAAAUUUAAACACAAGGUUUAUAAACACAAAAGGAAGGUUGGGAUUGAUUUUGGGAGUUGAGAUCCCAGCAGUUUAGGAAUUAGGGGCCAAAAAGGGGCCCAAAUAAGCAUUUUUCUUGGUUUUUGCACCAUAACUUUAGUAUACAUGUAAGUAAAUAGAAAUCUAUGAAAUUUAAACACAAGGUUUAUGACCAUAAAAGGAAGGUUGGGAUUGAUUUUGGGAGUUUUGGUCCCAACAG
rnacentral:lncRNA from 1 species